AUUGAACGCUGGCGGCAGGCCUAACGCAUGCAAGUCGAGCGGAUGAAGGGAGCUUGCUCCUGGAUUCAGCGGCGGACGGGUGAGUAAUGCCUAGGAAUCUGCCUGGUAGUGGGGGAUAACGUCCGGAAACGGGCGCUAAUACCGCAUACGUCCUGAGGGAGAAAGUGGGGGAUCUUCGGACCUCACGCUAUCAGAUGAGCCUAGGUCGGAUUAGCUAGUUGGUGGGGUAAAGGCCUACCAAGGCGACGAUCCGUAACUGGUCUGAGAGGAUGAUCAGUCACACUGGAACUGAGACACGGUCCAGACUCCUACGGGAGGCAGCAGUGGGGAAUAUUGGACAAUGGGCGAAAGCCUGAUCCAGCCAUGCCGCGUGUGUGAAGAAGGUCUUCGGAUUGUAAAGCACUUUAAGUUGGGAGGAAGGGCAGUAAGUCAAUACCUUGCUGUUUUGACGUUACCAACAGAAUAAGCACCGGCUAACUUCGUG
rnacentral:rRNA from 1 species